rnacentral:tRNA from 1 species
GAUUCUGUAGUGAAGUGGUUAUCACGUUUGCCUAACACGCAAAAGGUUCUCAGUUCGAAACUGGGCGGAAACA